GGGCUUGACAUCCCACGAACCUGCUGAAGGGCAGGAGUGCCCGCAAGGGAGCGCGGAGACAGGUGGUGCAUGGCUGUCGUCAGCUCGUAUCGUGAGAUGUUGGGUUAAGUCCCGCAACGAGCGCAACCCUCACCCCUUGUUGCUACCAGGUAAAGCUGGGCACUCUAGGGGAACUGCCCCGGUCAACGGGGAGGAAGGCGGGGAAGACGUCAAGUCAUCAUGCCCCUUACGUCCUGGGCUACACACGUGCUACAAUGGCCGGUACAAAGGGAUGCCACACCGCGAGGUAGAGCUAAACCCAAAAAGCCGGUCUAAGUUCAGAUUGGAGUCUGCAACUCGACUCCAUGAAGGAGGAAUCGCUAGUAAUCGCGUAUCAGCACGACGCGGUGAAUACGUUCCCGGGCCUUGUACACACCGCCCGUCACACCACGAAAGCCAGCUGUACUCGAAGUCGCUGAG
rnacentral:rRNA from 1 species